ACAACUCUGCAUUACAUGCAACUCAUCUUCGGACUGAAAGUUUGCAGAUCUGCAUCAUCUACAGCCCAAUACAAACAUGACUAACAGGCAUGUCGUCACCAUUGAAUAUAGUGGAUGAUGAGCGUCUUCGGGGCACUUCCGGAAACUAGUCAACGCCCUCCAUCCUGUCGGUGUGGUGGUGCAGGGACACAGAGGGAGGCCCAAUAGCUUUGAGGUGUCAGUGGAUGGUCAUGUGAUCUACUCCAGGUUUAAGACAGGACUGUUUCCUACUUCUAAGACGGUCAGUG